GCAGUCGAGCGGUAACAGAUCCAGCUUGCUGGAUGCUGACGAGCGGCGGACGGGUGAGUAAUGCAUAGGAAUCUGCCCGAUAGUGGGGGAUAACCUGGGGAAACCCAGGCUAAUACCGCAUACGUCCUACGGGAGAAAGGGGGCUCCGGCUCCCGCUAUGGGAUGAGCCUAUGUCGGAUUAGCUAGUUGGUGAGGUAACGGCUCACCAAGGCCACGAUCCGUAGCUGGUCUGAGAGGAUGAUCAGCCACAUCGGGACUGAGACACGGCCCGAACUCCUACGGGAGGCAGCAGUGGGGAAUAUUGGACAAUGGGGGAAACCCUGAUCCAGCCAUGCCGCGUGUGUGAAGAAGGCCCUCGGGUUGUAAAGCACUUUCAGCGAGGAAGAACGCCUAGCGGUUAAUACCCGCUAGGAAAGACAUCACUCGCAGAAGAAGCACCGGCUAACUCCGUGCCAGCAGCCGCGGUAAUACGGAGGGUGCAAGCGUUAAUCGGAAUUACUGGGCGUAAAGCGCGCGUAGGUGGCUUGAUAAGCCGGUUGUGAAAGCCCCGGGCUCAACCUGGGAACGGCAUCCGGAACUGUCAAGCUAGAGUGCAGGAUAGGAAGGUAGAAUUCCCGGUGUAGCGGUGAAAUGCGUACAGAUCGGGAGGAAUACCAGUGGCGAAGGCGGCCUUCUGGACUGACACUGACACUG
rnacentral:rRNA from 1 species